AUUGAACGCUGGCGGCAUGCCUUACACAUGCAAGUCGAACGGCAGCACGGGAGCAAUCCUGGUGGCGAGUGGCGAACGGGUGAGUAAUGUAUCGGAACGUACCUUUCAGUGGGGGAUAACGUAGCGAAAGUUACGCUAAUACCGCAUAUUCUGUGAGCAGGAAAGCAGGGGAUCGCAAGACCUUGCGCUGAUUGAGCGGCCGAUAUCAGAUUAGCUAGUUGGUGAGGUAAAGGCUCACAAAGGCGACGAUCUGUAGCGGGUCUGAGAGGAUGAUCCGCCAAACUGGAACUGAGACACGGUCCAGACUCCUACGGGAGGCAGCAGUGGGGAAUUUUGGACAAUGGGCGCAAGCCUGAUCCAGCCAUGCCGCGUGAGUGAAGAAGGCCUUCGGGUUGUAAAGCUCUUUCGGCCGGGAAGAAAUCGUGUGGGUUAAUACCCUGCAUGGAUGACGGUACCGGAAUAAGAAGCACCGGCUAACUACGUGCCAGCCGCCGCCGUAAUAC
rnacentral:rRNA from 1 species